AUUGAACGCUGGCGGCAUGCUUUACACAUGCAAGUCGAACGGUAACAGGUUAAGCUGACGAGUGGCGAACGGGUGAGUAAUGCAUCGGAACGUGCCCGAUCGUGGGGGAUAACGCAGAGAAAGCUGCGCUAAUACCGCAUACGAUCUGAGGAUGAAAGCGGGGGACCGUAAGGCCUCGCGCGAUCGGAGCGGCCGAUGUCAGAUUAGGUAGUUGGUGGGGUAAAGGCUCACCAAGCCAACGAUCCGUAGCGGGUCUGAGAGGAUGAUCCGCCACACUGGGACUGAGACACGGCCCAGACUCCUACGGGAGGCAGCAGUGGGGAAUUUUGGACAAUGGGGGCAACCCUGAUCCAGCCACGCCGCGUGAGUGAAGAAGGCCUUCGGGUUGUAAAGCUCUUUCGCGAGGGAAGAAAGCGCACUGGUUAAUACCUGGUGUGGAUGACGGUACCUUGAUAAGAGGCACCGGCUAACUACGUGCCAGCCGCCGCAGUAA
rnacentral:rRNA from 1 species